GUGAGACUAACAUUCUAACGGGUACUUUUAUAGAAAUCACCACUUUAAGCUCCGACAUAGCUCCAAUUACAAACAAAUUUGAAAAUGAAUGGCAAAUUGUUAUUAAUAGGAAAAGUAUAGGUAAGAACGAGAUUGUAAACACAAGCCAAGGUACUGGGACAAGUGCAUCUGCAGAGAAUGGAAAGAGAAGUUCAAUAUCAACAAUUAAGAUAUCGUGAACCGUUACUUGACAGAACACAAGACAAAAGAAGAGGAUAUGGAAAUCACAAAUAGCCUUGGAGUAGCCAUUGUAUAACCAAUUCACACAAGGAAUUUUACCUGAGAUUACAUGCUAAAUAGGGGAAGAAAGAAGAGGAAAGAAAAGAAUAUAAGUUGCAAAAUCUUCAAAAUAUCAAAAAAAACAAGAAAAAGGUGAACAGAGCAAGGAGAUAUAUAUCUGGAGGUGAACCUAGAAGAUUAGAUCAAUGACAUCACUCUUGUAGAGUUUCAAAAUGCUUACAAAACCAAGGAGUCCAUCAGGGAAAAAAUUUUACGUUCGUAUUUGCUAUGCCCUCGCUAUAAUCUUUGAAUCCAGCUAUUGAGGGACAUCACAACAAUCAUUCUACCACUCCUCUAUUUGGUUGGAACCUAAAACCUAUAAAGAAAAUAAAUGGAAGGAAAGCCAAGGAAACGGUAAUCAGAGAGUGGACUCUAGAGAUAUUCAAGAUGAUACAACCCGUAAAGAUUGUGAACAAGAUCUUGACAUAGAAAAUGGAGCGGAAGAGUACUCCCCUGCAUUCUCAGAUAAUGAAGCUAUUUGGGGAGAUAGACCCCUCUUGACCUGCGUUUUAUCUCAACUAACUAAUCAAGCCCAACACAAAGUAGGAUACUUCAACAAUCUCUCCCUAGAGGGAAGACAAAAACUCAAAAUCAAGAAGAUGGGUUCAUUGACUCAUUUGUGAGCUUCCAUAAAACUCAAAAAACAACCCGCUCCAAUUGUUUUCACGAUUAAUACUCUUUCAAGGUUCUCUGGAUUGGCUUCGAACUCUAAAACAUCAACAUAAGUCUUUCUACGUAUUCAUCCAGAAACCUAAGGUAAACUCUAGGAAAUUAAAAAGUUUUAAAAGAGGUUAGGGUACACUUAUUGCUUCCAUAACUGGUCCAAGAAGAUUUGGAUAUUUUGGUCCAAUGAUUACCUCAUUAAUAUAAUAGAAGACAAAGAUCAACGUGUGUUGGUCCAUGUCUCUCAUUUAUAUGAUUUGGUUGAGUUUUAU
rnacentral:lncRNA from 1 species